AUUGAACGCUGGCGGCAGGCCUAACACAUGCAAGUCGGACGGUAGCACAGAGAGCUUGCUCUUGGGUGACGAGUGGCGGACGGGUGAGUAAUGUCUGGGGAUCUGCCCGAUAGAGGGGGAUAACCACUGGAAACGGUGGCUAAUACCGCAUAACGUCGCAAGACCAAAGAGGGGGACCUUCGGGCCUCUCACUAUCGGAUGAACCCAGAUGGGAUUAGCUAGUAGGCGGGGUAAUGGCCCACCUAGGCGACGAUCCCUAGCUGGUCUGAGAGGAUGACCAGCCACACUGGAACUGAGACACGGUCCAGACGCCGACGGGAGGCAGCAGUGGGGAAUAUUGCACAAUGGGCGCAAGCCUGAUGCAGCCAUGCCGCGUGUAUGAAGAAGGCCUUCGGGUUGUAAAGUACUUUCAGCGGGGAGGAAGGCGGUGCGGUUAAUAACCGUACCGAUUGACGUUACCCGCAGAAGAAGCACCGGCUAACUCCGUGCCAGCCGCCGCCGUAA
rnacentral:rRNA from 1 species